rnacentral:rRNA from 1 species
UGGGGAAUAUUGCACAAUGGGCGCAAGCCUGAUGCAGCCAUGCCGCGUGUGUGAAGAAGGCCUUCGGGUUGUAAAGCACUUUCAGCGGGGAGGAAGGCGGUGAGGUUAAUAACCUCAUCGAUUGACGUUACCCGCAGAAGAAGCACCGGCUAACUCCGUGCCAGCAGCCGCGGUAAUACGGAGGGUGCAAGCGUUAAUCGGAAUUACUGGGCGUAAAGCGCACGCAGGCGGUCUGUCAAGUCGGAUGUGAAAUCCCCGGGCUCAACCUGGGAACUGCAUUCGAAACUGGCAGGCUAGAGUCUUGUAGAGGGGGGUAGGAUUCCAGGUGUAGCGGUGAAAUGCGUGGAGAUCUGGAGGAAUACCGGUGGCGAAGGCGGCCCCCUGGACAAAGACUGACGCUCAGGUGCGAAAGCGUGGGGAGCAAACAGG